UACGAGGGGUGCAAGCGUUGCUCGGAAUUAUUGGGCGUAAAGGGUAGGUAGGUGGUCUCAUUUGUCUGGGGUGAAAGCCUUGAGCUUAACUCAAGAAGUGCCCCGGAAACGGUGAGACUGGAGUCUCGGAGAGGGUCGUGGAAUUCACGGUGUAGCGGUGAAAUGCGUAGAUAUCGUGGAGAACACCCGUGGCGAAGGCGGGCUUCUGGCUAAUGACUGACGCUGAGGUGCGAAAGCUAGGGGAGCGAACGGG
rnacentral:rRNA from 1 species